rnacentral:rRNA from 1 species
UACGGAGGGGGCUAGCGUUGUUCGGAAUUACUGGGCGUAAAGCGCACGUAGGCGGAUUUGUAAGUCAGGGGUGAAAUCCCGGGGCUCAACCUCGGAACUGCCUUUGAUACUGCAAGUCUCGAGUCCGAUAGAGGUGAGUGGAAUUCCUAGUGUAGAGGUGAAAUUCGUAGAUAUUAGGAAGAACACCAGUGGCGAAGGCGGCUCACUGGAUCGGUACUGACGCUGAGGUGCGAAAGCGUGGGGAGCAAACGGG